rnacentral:rRNA from 1 species
CAGUCGCCGCGGUAAAACGGAGGGGGCUAGCGUUGUUCGGAAUUACUGGGCGUAAAGCGCACGUAGGCGGCUAUGUAAGUUAGAGGUGAAAGCCUGGAGCUCAACUCCAGAAUUGCCUUUAAGAUUGCGUGGCUAGCAGGUGAGAGAGGUGAGUGGAAUUCCGAGUGUAGAGGUGAAAUUCGUAGAUAUUCGGAAGAACACCAGUGGCGAAGGCGGCUCACUGGCUCAUACUGGACGCUGAGGUGCGAAAGCGUGGGGAGCAAACAGGAUUAGAUACCCCCGUAGUCCCUGUCUCUUAUAC